UACGGAGGGGACUAGCGUUGUUCGGAAUUACUGGGCGUAAAGCGCACGUAGGCGGAUUUGUAAGUCAGGGGUGAAAUCCCGGGGCUCAACCUCGGAACUGCCUUUGAUACUGCAAAUCUCGAGUCCGAUAGAGGUGAGUGGAAUUCCUAGUGUAGAGGUGAAAUUCGUAGAUAUUAGGAAGAACACCAGUGGCGAAGGCGGCUCACUGGAUCGGUACUGACGCUGAGGUGCGAAAGCGUGGGGAGCAAACAGG
rnacentral:rRNA from 1 species